rnacentral:lncRNA from 1 species
CCUGACAGGCCCUCUGCCACCACCGUACUUUGACAAUGGAAUAUUAGUUUUCCAGCCAAGAAACAAUUAAGUUGAAAUAGAUGCACGAGGCUGCUAAAUGGAGCGAUAUUCAAGGUUUCAUUGGAUGCCAGAGAGUGAAACUAUGCAGUACAAGAAGGCAACGGCGGAAGCAGCGUGGCCAAGGUCCAAAACUCGAUGCAAAUUCCAAAUCGUAAGAGAUGG